CAGUCGCCACGGGAACACGGAGGGAGCUAGCGUUGUUCGGAAUUACUGGGCGUAAAGCGCGCGUAGGCGGUUACUCAAGUCAGAGGUGAAAGCCCGGGGCUCAACCCCGGAACUGCCUUUGAAACUAGGUGACUAGAAUCUUGGAGAGGUCAGUGGAAUUCCGAGUGUAGAGGUGAAAUUCGUAGAUAUUCGGAAGAACACCAGUGGCGAAGGCGACUGACUGGACAAGUAUUGACGCUGAGGUGCGAAAGCGUGGGGAGCAAACAGGAUUAGAUACCCGCGUAGUCCCUGUCUCUUAUAC
rnacentral:rRNA from 1 species